UACAGAGGGUGCGAGCGUUAAUCGGAAUUACUGGGCGUAAAGCGUGCGUAGACGGUUAUUUAAGUCGGGUGUGAAAGCCCCGGGCUCAACCUGGGAACUGCCUUUGUGACUGCAUAGCUAGAGUACGGCAGAGGGGGAUGGAAUUCCGCGUGUAGCAGUGAAAUGCGUAGAUAUGCGGAGGAACACCGAUGGCGAAGGCAGUCCCCUGGGCCUGUACUGACGCUCAUGCACGAAAGCGUGGGGAGCAAACAGG
rnacentral:rRNA from 1 species